CAGGNNCCUGGCAAGGCCUGUCGUCAAGCNUCGNGUCGUUAUGUUGGUUAAGNUCCCGNCANCGAGGGGCAAACCCUUGUCGUUAAAUGCCCAUCAUUUGGGUNGGGCACUUUUAACGAGACUGCCGGGUGCCAAACCGGAGGAAGGUGGGGAUGACGUCAAGUCCUCAUGGCCCUUAUGGGUAGGGCUUCACACGUCAUACAAUGGUCGGUACAGAGGGUUGCCAAGCCGCGAGGCGGAGCGAAUCUCNCAAAGCCGAUCGUAGUCCGGAUCGCAGUCUCGCAACUCGACUGCGUGAAGUCGGAAUCGCUAGUAAUCGCGGAUCAGCAUGUCGCGGUGAAUACGUUCCCGGGUCUUGUACACACCGCCCGUCACUACCAUGGGAGUGGGUUUCACCAGAAGAGGGUAGCCUAACCGCAAGGGGGGCGCUCUGCCACGGUGAGAUUCUAUGACUGGGGUGAAGUCGUAACAAGGUAGCCGUA
rnacentral:rRNA from 1 species